GAUGAACGCUGGCGGCGCGCCUAACACAUGCAAGUCGAACGGUUAAAGCACCUUCGGGUGUGUAUAAAGUGGCGAACGGCUGAGUAACACGUGGGCAACCUGCCCCUUUCAUUGGGAUAGCCACGGGAAACCGUGGAUAAUACCGAAUACUUCGAGACUUCCGCAUGGAAGACUCGAGAAAGCUCCGGCGGAGAGGGAUGGGCCCGCGGCCUGUUAGCUUGUUGGUGGGGUAACGGCCUACCAAGGCAAUGAUGGGUAGCUGGGUUGAGAGACCGACCAGCCAGAUUGGGACUGAGACACGGCCCAGACUCCUACGGGAGGCAGCAGUGGGGAAUCUUGCACAAUGGGCGAAAGCCUGAUGCAGCGACGCCGCGUGCGGGAUGAAGGCCUUCGGGUUGUAAACCGCUUUCAGCAGGGACGAGGCGAAAGUGACGGUACCUGCAGAAGAAGCCCCGGCUAACUACGUG
rnacentral:rRNA from 1 species